UGUUACACUGUAAAAAGAGAUGUGCCAUUAUAGCACGCGUGUAGCGUGUUACACAUGUGCCAAACUCUUAAAGUGUGUUAUUUACCCUCUAGAAAGGUUUAUCACAGUUAAAAGUAUGUCAUUUUGACCCACUGAAUGAAAACGACCCAUUACACAUGUGUCGUUUCUUAUGUACAUUACAUAUAAACAUGAUUGUUACAAGUGAUAACACAAUCACUUGUAAAAAUCAUACUUCAUAUGUCCCCCUGGCCCAGGCAACAAAUGUGACAUAGCAACGAGUGAGACUGUUUAAAUGGUAGCUAGCUAGUUAGUUCAACCAAGUAUAGUACAGUACAGUCGAGACAACUGUUCACUUCAAAGAAUUGAACUGCUGGAACCACCCUCAAGUUUGAAACUACCCAGUUUUUCAGUGGUAGGUUUAUAUUCUCUAUUAAAAAGACUAUUAAUAUGUAAUUAUUGCAGAAUUGAUAGACUCUACUUGUUUUUUUGGCUGAUGAGUCAGUAAUUCUCCUUUCUCAACAAUGGCAGACUCCUUCGAUUGUGAUAGUGUACGAAACAGAGGGCUCAAAGGUAGGCCAUCCUAACCACCCUCCAAGUGAGCUAGCUGUCUGAAUCUUAAUACUGGUCCCUGUCAGGGCACAAAUUUGAGGUAUAGGCCUUCCUAACCACCCUCCAAGUGAGCUAGCUGUCUGAAUCUUAAUACUGGUCUGAAAUAGGUGUGAAGUACAAGUUCAAAGGACUAAAGGACUGUAUAGUAAACACUUAUAAUGGAAUGGAUGCAUGCAUGCAAGUUUUGCAAACACUUCUGUUUCAUUUUCAGUUACUAUAGACUCGUCAUUAUUGUUUAUUAUUGAAAUGGC